rnacentral:rRNA from 1 species
GACGGAGGAUGCAAGCGUUGUCCGGAAUGAUUGGGCGUAAAGCGUCCGCAGGUGGCAGUUCAAGUCUGCUGUCAAAGACCGGGGCUUAACUUCGGAAAGGCAGUGGAAACUGAACAGCUAGAGUAUGGUAGGGGCAGAGGGAAUUCCUGGUGUAGCGGUGAAAUGCGUAGAGAUCAGGAAGAACAUCGGUGGCGAAGGCGCUCUGCUGGACCAUAACUGACACUCAGGGACGAAAGCUAGGGGAGCGAAUGGG